ACAGGUGUUAUUGAAGGGAGAAAAGCUGGGCUGAGAGGCGACUGGUGUCUAAUCUGUUCAUCUCUCCAACUCAGACUGCCUGACCCACAGCCACAGCUCGGCCCUGAGCUGC
rnacentral:pre_miRNA from 1 species